rnacentral:misc_RNA from 1 species
UCUCCGUUGGUGAACCAGCGGAGGGAUCAUUACAGGACUCGCAAGACUCCUACACCCCUGUGAACUUAACUAUAAGCACGUUGCUUCGGCGGGUGUCUCGGAGGGGGUUCUCCCCCACCGGGACGCUAACCCCGCCGGCAGCCUACUAUACUCUGUCGCUUUGCUUUGGCAUCUCGAGUACAAUCAAACAAGUUAAAACUUUCAACAACGGAUCUCUUGGUUCUG